CUAUUAUCUGUAUCAUCAGUGCUGGCAUGAGUGGGUCACAAUUUCAAUUGCUACUGUUCCUGAUAUAAUAAACAUAAAUUAAUGAUGUUUUUCUUUUGUAGAUCAUUUUGUUUUUAUGUAAUGGCAAUUUUUUUGUGUAAUUGCUGCAAUGUUACCAUUUUUAUUUUAAUUUAGGCCCUCUCUAAGUCUUUGUUAUCACCAAGUUCCUUUUUCCAGUGGGAGAUGGGAACAGCUUGGUUAAGUAGGCUGCAGUGUCUUUUGUCCUGACUAUGUUGGCAGACGUUCAAGCAAGUUUAAAACUACUAAGCUUAGGGGCUUCCAGUAAUGCCUUUGUAAGCAGUUUUUCAUUCUGAGCUUCAAAGAGACUGGUAUUAGAGGAUAGGAGUUGUGUUCACUUUCACUUUGAAAAGACUGGCAGCCCCAUUCUGGUUCUUCGCCAUUUAGGCCUUCCACAGUUCUUGUCAGGUGGCAGACGGUGGAGCAGGAGCUUGGAGCAUCUCAGGAGCCCCUGCAUCUUUUGCAUCAGUCCUCUUCCGCAUAGAUUUUGAGAUGCUCAUGCCUGCUGGAUGCACGUAGUGGCCAGGAGCUGUUGAAUGGAUUUUCCUCGCGGCGUCUCCGGGGCUGAUUGGCAGUGUGCUACAGGGGGCAUUGAACCCCCAACCUCUUUUCUACUCUGGAGGCAAUGAGAUUAACUCCCAGGCCCCAUUUACCUCCUUC
rnacentral:lncRNA from 1 species